GGUAUAUUGAAUGAAAGCUGUGUUGCCAUUGGCCGUCUGUAAAUACAGACGCAGGAAGAAGGGUGUAAUUCCCUCGCUGUGCCGCAACCGUCGAGCCGGAAAACUAGCAGCUUACCUUUCCCGAGC
rnacentral:ncRNA from 2 species